UACGUAGGCAGCGAGCGUUGUUCGGAGUUACUGGGCGUAAAGAGUGCGUAGGCGGUUUUCUAAGUUUGGUGUGAAAUCUCCCGGCUCAACUGGGAGGGUGCGCCGAAGACUGGAAGGCUUGAGUAUGGGAGAGGUAAGCGGAAUUCCUGGUGUAGCGGUGAAAUGCGCAGAUAUCAGGAGGAACACCAAUGGCGAAGGCAGCUCGCUGGAACGGUACUGACGCUGAGGCGCGAAAGCGUGGGGAGCGAACAGG
rnacentral:rRNA from 1 species